UACACACCGCCCGUCACACCAUGGGAGUGGGUUGCACCAGAGGUAGCUAGUCUAACCUUCGGGAGGACGGUUACCACGGUGUGAUUCAUGACUGGGGUG
rnacentral:rRNA from 1 species